rnacentral:rRNA from 1 species
GAUGAACGCUGGCGGCGUGCCUAAUACAUGCAAGUCGAGCGAACAGAUGAGGAGCUUGCUCCUCUGACGUUAGCGGCGGACGGGUGAGAAACACGUGGAUAACCUACCUAUAAGACUGGGAUAACUUCGGGAAACCGGAGCUAAUACCGGAUAAUAUAUUGAACCGCAUGGUUCAAUAGUGAAAGACGGUUUUGCUGUCACUUAUAGAUGGAUCCGCGCCGCAUUAGCUAGUUGGUAAGGUAACGGCUUACCAAGGCAACGAUGCGUAGCCGACCUGAGAGGGUGAUCGGCCACACUGGAACUGAGACACGGUCCAGACUCCUACGGGAGGCAGCAGUAGGGAAUCUUCCGCAAUGGGCGAAAGCCUGACGGAGCAACGCCGCGUGAGUGAUGAAGGUCUUCGGAUCGUAAAACUCUGUUAUUAGGGAAGAACAAAUGUGUAAGUAACUAUGCACGUCUUGACGGUACCUAAUCAGAAAGCCACGGCUAACUACGUG